rnacentral:rRNA from 1 species
CCUACGGGAGGCUGCAGUGGGGAAUAUUGGACAAUGGGCGAAAGCCUGAUCCAGCCAUGCCGCGUGUGUGAAGAAGGCCUUCGGGUUGUAAAGCACUUUCAGUGGGGAAGAAAGCCUUGGGGCUAAUACCCUCGAGGAAGGACAUCACCCACAGAAGAAGCACCGGCUAACUCCGUGCCAGCAGCCGCGGUAAUACGGAGGGUGCGAGCGUUAAUCGGAAUUACUGGGCGUAAAGCGCGCGUAGGCGGUCUGAUAAGCCGGUUGUGAAAGCCCCGGGCUCAACCUGGGAACGGCAUCCGGAACUGUCAGGCUAGAGUGCAGGAGAGGAAGGUAGAAUUCCCGGUGUAGCGGUGAAAUGCGUAGAGAUUGGGAGGAAUACCAGUGGCGAAGGCGGCCUUCUGGACUGACACUGACGCUGAGGUGCGAAAGCGUGGGUAGCAAACAGGAUUAGAUACCCGAGUAGUC